rnacentral:rRNA from 1 species
CGUAGGGUGCGAGCGUUGUCCGGAAUUAUUGGGCGUAAAGAGCUCGUAGGCGGAUUGUCGCGUCGGAUGUGAAAGCCCGGGGCUUAACUCCGGGUCUGCAUUCGAUACGGGCAGGCUAGAGUGUGGUAGGGGAGAUCGGAAUUCCUGGUGUAGCGGUGAAAUGCGCAGAUAUCAGGAGGAACACCGGUGGCGAAGGCGGAUCUCUGGGCCAUUACUGACGCUGAGGAGCGAAAGCGUGGGGAGCGAACAGG